UACGUAGGGGCAAGCGUUAUCCGGAUUUACUGGGUGUAAAGGGAGCGCAGACGGAACUGCAAGUCUGAUGUGAAAGCCCGGGGCUCAACCGCGGGACUGCAUUGGAAACUGUAGAUCUGGAGUGCCGGAGGGGCAAGCGGAAUUCCUGGUGUAGCGGUGAAAUGCGUAGAUAUCAGGAGGAACACCGGCGGCGAAGGCGGCUUGCUGGACGGCAACUGACGUUGAGGCUCGAAAGCGUGGGGAGCAAACAGGAUUAGAUACCCCCGUAGUCA
rnacentral:rRNA from 1 species